GGAGAAAUGGCAGAGUGGUCGAAUGCACCGGUCUUGAAAACCGGCGAGGGUCACACCUCCGGGGGUUCGAAUCCCUCUUUCUCCGCAA
rnacentral:tRNA from 4 species